CUUCACGUGCAUGUCUCAGCCCCUACUCGUCUUGCACGCACCGAGGUUGUUAUUGCAGAGAAUCAUUGCUCACAUUUUAGACUUCAUUAAACUUCUUACAUGGACAAGUUAGCUGUCCCGGUCCUGUGCCACGGGCGCUGUCCUCCACUGGCAGCCGCAACCUGCGUUCAAGAUUCUGCGAGAUUCGCCGACAUCUUCACAGGGAAAAAUUAGUUACUGAAGUGGUUCUUGACACUCAGCCUCUCCGUGCCUCCACUCACGCCUCCUUGACGGCCCUUAGAACCUGUUCUCGGCCGUCACGUGACCACUCAACCAUCUUGAAAAGGCUUCUUGAGAACAUUUCUUUUCUGGGGAUCAUUUUUUUUUUCAGAAAAAAAACACGAUCAUUUCCGCAGAUGCUGAAGAUAGUGUCUCUAGUGAAUGUGUCUGUAUUCUGCAGUUGUUAUUUAACUGGAUCAAAUAUGAUAAUUAUCAAACGAUCGUUAUAAUCCAUUAAAUUGUGAAACCCAA